rnacentral:rRNA from 1 species
AACGAACGCUGGCGGCGUGCUUAACACAUGCAAGUCGAACGCGAAAGGGACUUCGGUCCUGAGUAAAGUGGCGCACGGGUGAGUAACGCGUGGAUAAUCUGCCCAAUGGACUGGGAUGACAUCUCGAAAGGGGUGCUAAUACCGGAUAAGACCACGGGAUCUUUGGAUUCUGCGGUAAAAGGUGGGGCCCUUCGGGCCUACCGUCAUUGGAUGAGUCCGGGUACCAUUAGCUAGUUGGUAGGGUAAUGGCCUACCAAGGCUACGAUGGUUAGCUGGUCUGAGAGGAUGAUCAGCCACACUGGAACUGAGACACGGUCCAGACUCCUACGGGAGGCAGCAGUGGGGAAUUUUGCGCAAUGGGGGAAACCCUGACGCAGCAACGCCGCGUGAGUGAUGAAGGCCUUCGGGUCGUAAAGCUCUGUCAGAGGGGAAGAAGUGCAGUGGUGCUAAUAUCGCCAUUGUUUGACGGUACCCUCAAAGGAAGCACCGGCUAACUCCGUGCCAGCCGCCGCAGUAA